rnacentral:rRNA from 1 species
AGUCGGGGUGGAUCUUCAUCGCGGUCCCGCCUGCCGCAAGGUUGGGUCCAAGGAGAUUGGAUCCGCUCGACCAUCACCCAGAAGGAUCUCGACGAUCUGGCCAAUGAGGGACUGAUCCCUCAUGGGUCAGCAAGACUUCCGGGGACCGAGUGGCAACUGCAGCCGCUGGAGGGUGAGUGCGUUCUCUUAGCCACUCAUGUAGAUCGCGGGUUCUCUCUGCCACCGAAUCUUUUCUUCCGAGGGUUUCUGAACUUCUUUGGGGCACAACUCCACCAUUUUACUCCCAAUUCCAUUGCCUACCUCGCCGCUUUCGUGUCUCUGUGCAAAAACUUCCUGGGUUGUCGGCCGCACUGGGGUCUCUUUAAGCACAUAUUCACUUGUCGCUCUCAGACGGUGAAAAAGGCGAGUCCGGAUGAUGAGAGGACCAAGGUUAUCCAGAUGUGUGGGGGG